GAUGAACGCUAGCGGCAGGCUUAACACAUGCAAGUCGAGGGGUAACAGGGGAAAGCUUGCUUUUUUGCUGACGACCGGCGCACGGGUGAGUAACGCGUAUAGAACCUACCUUUUACAGGGGAAUAGCCCAGAGAAAUUUGGAUUAAUACCCUAUAGUAUUAUUGAGUGGCAUCAUUUAAUAAUUAAACAUUUAUGGGUAAAAGAUGGCUAUGCGUUCUAUUAGCUAGAUGGUAAGGUAACGGCUUACCAUGGCAACGAUAGAUAGGGGUCCUGAGAGGGAGAUCCCCCACACUGGUACUGAGACACGGACCAGACUCCUACGGGAGGCAGCAGUGAGGAAUAUUGGACAAUGGAGGCAACUCUGAUCCAGCCAUGCCGCGUGCAGGAAGACGGCCCUAUGGGUUGUAAACUGCUUUUAUACGGGAAGAAACCCAACUACGUGUAGUUGGUUGACGGUACCGUAAGAAUAAGCACCGGCUAACUCCGUGCCAGCAGCCGCGGUAAUACGGAGGGUGCAAGCGUUAUCCGGAAUCAUUGGGUUUAAAGGGUCCGUAGGCGGGCUAAUAAGUCAGGGGUGAAAUCCAACAGCUUAACUGUUGAACUGCCUUUGAUACUGUUAGUCUUGAAUUAUAUGGAAGUAGAUAGAAUGUGUAGUGUAGCGGUGAAAUGCUUAGAGAUUACACAGAAUACCGAU
rnacentral:rRNA from 1 species